rnacentral:rRNA from 1 species
AACGAACGCUGGCGGCGUGCCUAACACAUGCAAGUCGAACGAGAAGGGGGCUUCGGCUCCGAGUAAAGUGGCGCACGGGUGAGUAACACGUGGGUAACCUGCCUCUAAGAUUGGGACAACUCGUCGAAAGAUGAGCUAAUACCGGAUAAGAACACAGUUCCCGCGGGAACAGGGGUCAAAGGUAGCCUCUGCUUGCAAGCUAUCACUUAGAGAUGGGCCUGCGCACCAUUAGCUAGUUGGUAGGGUAACGGCCUAACAAGGCAAAGAUGGUUAGCUGGUCUAAGAGGAUGAUCAACCACGCUGGAACUGAGAAACAGUCCAGACUCCUACGGGAGUCAGCAGUGGGGAAUAUUGCGAAAUGGGCGAAAGCGUGAGGCAGCAACGCCGCGUGAGUGAUGAAAGCCUUCGGGUCGUAAAGCUCUGUCGGGAGGAACGAAUGCUCCCAAGGUUAACAGCCUCGGGAGGUGACGGUACCUUCAAAGGAAGCACCGGCUAACUCUGUGCCAGCAGCCGCGGUAAUAC